AUGCCAAGCCCUCGUGCUCCUCCAUCGGCAGCCACAGGGGGGACUCCGGCGCACCUUCCCUUCCUCUCUUCCUCUCCUUCCUUCUCCCUCACACCCUCUCUCUCUGUUCUCCCGCAGGUACCCGCCAUGGCCAUCAUGGACAGCAGCCAUGCGGCAGGAGCUCGCCACCAAAGUCCCCCGAGCACUGUCCGCCCCGAAUCUGGCUGGGAACCAGACGAGGCCGAGCCCUCACGCCCAGAUCCGCUGCAGCAAUCUCGAAGUUCGCCGCCGCCACCUCGGGCGGUUCAACUGACACACCCCUCUUCUGGAACCACCCGCCAGAACGACCAUCGGCCCUCCCUAAUCCUGCUGCAGAUUUGUGCACAUAAAGUUCAAAAAUAUAACGGAGAGAAGGAGCAUGUAUGCAUGUGUGUGGUGGUGAGGUUGAGGAUUCAGAAAACGUGUGUGGUGAUGGUGAGGUUCAGAAGAACAUGUGUGUGGUGGAGAAAUUCACUAGCUUUUUUAAUCGGGAGACAAGUAAUAGCUUAUUUUGUACAAACACAAGACAGAAAAAUGUAUGCAUCUUUUUGUAAGAGAAAUAAACAAAUGAUCAAGUAUCGCCCCAUGAAAGUUCAUGCAUAUGAGAAAAGGAAAUUCGGAAGGUCGGGGGUGACGAACAGAGAAGUUCAGGCAUCAGUGUUGAGGAAGGUCAGGAGAAAAGAACUCAACCCACUGAGGUGUCUCACAUCAACUAUACAUACUCAACGGCCUCUCUGUUCAUCAAGAAAAUUUGAGUUUCCUUAA
rnacentral:rRNA from 1 species